rnacentral:rRNA from 1 species
GAAAGUAAAUAAGGGCGCAUGGCGGAUGCCUUGGCUCUCGGAGGCGAUGAAGGACGUGAUAAGCUGCGAUAAGCUUCGGGUAGGUGCAAAUGACCUUUGAUCCGAAGAUUUCCGAAUGGGACAACCCGGCAUUCUGAAGGAAUGUCAUCCAACUUGGUUGGAGGCUAACGCAGGGAACUGAAACAUCUUAGUACCUGCAGGAAAAGAAAAUAAAUAAUGAUUCCCCUAGUAGUGGCGAGCGAACGGGGAUUAGCCCAAACCACCCAUGUUACGGCAUGUGUGGGGUUGUAGGACCACGCUCUCGCAAGACAGUUAUUGAGAAGAAACGACUGGAAAGUCGUGCCAUAGACGGUGAUAGCCCGGUAUUCUAAGGUAACCGAAGCGUAGUGGUAUCCUGAGUAGCGCGGAGCACGAGGAAUUCUGCGUGAAUCAGCCGGGACCAUCCGGUAAGGCUAAAUACUCCCGAGAGACCGAUAGCGAACCAGUACUGUGAAGGAAAGGUGAAAAGCACUUCGAAUAGAAGAGUGAAAUAGUCCCUGAAACCAUGCGCCUACAAGCGGUCGGAGCAGCUUCAGCUGUGACGGCGUGCCUUUUGCAUAAUGAACCUACGAGUUACUUUUUCCGGCAAGGUUAAGCAUCUUGAGAUGUGGAUCCGAAGCGAAAGCGAGUCUGAACAGGGCGGAUAGUCGGAAGGAGUAGACGCGAAACCAAGUGAUCUACCCUUGGGCAGGUUGAAGGUUAGGUAACACUAACUGGAGGACCGAACCGAUAAGCGUUGAAAAGCUUCCGGAUGACCUGAGGGUGGGGGUGAAAGGCUAAUCAAACUUGGAGAUAGCUCGUACUCCCCGAAAUGCAUUUAGGUGCAGCCUUGAGAGUUACUAAUGUGAGGUAGAGCGACUGAUAAGAUGCGAGGGCUUCACCGCCUAUCAAGUCUUGAUAAACUCCGAAUGCGCAUUAGUUCUAUCUCAGGAGUGAGGGCAUGGGUGCUAAGGUCCAUGUCCUAAAGGAGAAGAAUCCAGACCAUCAGCUAAGGUCCCCAAAUAAACACUAAGUUGAACUAACGAAGUCAGAUUGCUAAGACAGCUAGGAUGUUGGCUUGGAAGCAGCCAUUCAUUUAAAGAGUGCGUAACAGCUCACUAGUCGAGGAGUUUGGCGUGGAUAAUAAUCGGGCAUAAGUGUUUUACCGAAGCUAUGGGAUCCUAACGGAUCGGUAGGGGAGCAUUCCACUCAGCGUUGAAGGCGAAGCGUGAGCUUUACUGGAGCGUGUGGAAAAGCAAAUGUAGGUAUAAGUAACGAUAAAGGGGGUGAGAAACCCCCUCGCCGAAAGACUAAGGUUUCCUGAUCAACGCUAAUCGGAUCAGGGUUAGUCGGGUCCUAAGGCUCAGCCGAACGGUGAGGCCGAUGGCAGAACAGGUUAAUAUUCCUGUACUACCUAUAGGAGUGAUGUGGAGACGGAGGAGUGACAACGCCGCGGACUGACGGAAUAGUCCGUUAAAGGGUGUAGAUGUUGAUUAUCCCAGGCAAAUCCGGGAUAAGAGUCGAACCUGACAGUAUACCAAUUUCCUCGGAAAACGGUAAUAGUGCGUGUAAACAUACUCCCAAGAAAAUCCGCUAAACUUAAUCUUAUAGGUACCCGUACCGUAAACGGACACACGUAGUCGGGUUGAAUAUACUCAGGCGCUUGAGUGAAUCACGGUUAAGGAACUAGGCAAAUUGACCCUGUAACUUCGGGAUAAAGGGUCCCUACCCGGUGACGGGAGGGCGCAGAGAAUAGGUCCAGGCAACUGUUUAACAAAAACACAGGGCUGUGCAAAAUUGAAAGAUCACGUAUACAGCCUGACACCUGCCCGGUGCUGGAAGGUUAAGAGGAGAUGUCAUCGCAAGAGAAGCAUUGAAUUGAAGCCCCAGUAAACGGCGGCCGUAACUAUAACGGUCCUAAGGUAGCGAAAUUCCUUGUCGGGUAAGUUCCGACC